UUCUUCUUGAGAACACUGUAUCAAAAUUUCCAAUACAUCAUUUGAAAGAAUACUUGUAACAAAACGAUGCUAAAUAUUUGUAUUUCAGACAAGGUUUUCCCUGAGAUUUUUAGAGGACUGGACACAAGACAGUGUUCGUUCUCCUGUGGUCCUUUAUUCCAGACAGUGAGAACAUAUAAGUGCAAAUAGAGUCAAAAACAGGUAUCUUUUUUCAGGGUUCAUCUUCCUCAGGAAGCAGUCAUCAAGGAAAGCCAGGUGGCUCUGGCUCAGGAAGCACUUAUUCUGGAAAACAGUCACCUUCCUCUGGAGGCAGUCAAGUGAGCUCUGCUGGGAAACACUCCACUCCCCAACUCCUGAUGUUAUUCAGUGUUUUGAGUGCCUUUGCUCUCUCUGCUGCCACAUCAAAAUGGUCUAUAUGAACCUCCGAAGAGCUGUUUGACAACCUAAACAUGGAUUAUAUUCCAUAUUAUUAGAUUAAUUACUUAAUGUAAGAAAAAAAAUAUCCUUAAGUCAAAUUGUCAGAUGCUACUUGGCUGUUAUGUUGCAUGUCUAGCUGAUAUGUCAUGCCUUUCAUUAGUUUACCUCUGGUUUUAGUCAUUAGUAGAUAUCAUUAGUUUUGUCAGUGUUUUAGGCAUCAUUUUAAGAGAGCAUAUUGUACCCCACCUGUAUGAUUUAUUUGUAUUUCUGACAGGGAAUGCGAUGAACACCUGCCUGAAAUGACUGGUGUGACAAAUGAACACUUAGAAAGUAUUUGGUUAUUAACCAAAGUGGACGAGGUCAAAUAAAUUGUUAUAGAUGCGAGCUGAGCA
rnacentral:lncRNA from 1 species